UACGUAGGGUGCGAGCGUUAAUCGGAAUUACUGGGCGUAAAGCGUGCGCAGGCAGCGCGUUAAGACAGGUGUGAAAGCCCCGAGCUUAACUUGGGAAUUGCGCUUGUGACUGGCGAGCUGGAGUGUGGCAGAGGGAGGUGGAAUUCCACGUGUAGCAGUGAAAUGCGUAGAGAUGUGGAGGAACACCGAUGGCGAAGGCAGCCUCCUGGGCCAGCACUGACGCUCAUGCACGAAAGCGUGGGGAGCAAACAGG
rnacentral:rRNA from 1 species